CGGGUAUAUAAGAGUUUAACAGUUAUUUGAUAAUUACUGCAUCAACCGGCCCCUUGUUUAUACUUUGGAGAUUCGUAUAUAAUAUCUAUCAAGUAUCUUUGGUUCAGAACAUGACUGAUAGGCCUAUAUGGAAAUCCCACUGUUCGAUUCAGUAAGAAAUAUCUCCUAAUUUCUAUCGAUAGUUUUAGUAAAAUAUCAACCUUAUUGCGAUUUAUGGCCUUUGAAAGUCAAGCGAGAUAGUAUAUUAUCAAAUUAAUACGCGUGUAAUCGUCUGAACGAAAAUAUAGACUAGCCCAUACCUUUCGCCGAUCAUAACUUCGGCCCCUUCGGACGUAUCUUCUUUGUUAAAUGUUCUUGUUCGAAUUUCUAUCAAAAACACUAUUUAGAGUGUUAUUUUUCAGCUUGUAUCUUUUAAUUUGCUUCUUUUAUUAUGUUAUUCCAUUUCUGGUCUGACUUGACGUGAACUAAUUUCAAAACGCAGGGUUUCAAAACGUCAAAACAUUUGGUUAAUGAUUAACAUUUAACCAAAUUUAGCCGUUGA